ensembl:lncRNA
GGCGGGGACAGUGAGAAGGCAGAUCAGGUUGUUGUGGGUGACACAGGGAGGGUGUGGCGACACAGACCAAGAAGACUAACAUGUCUCCUCUACACACUCGCCCCUUUGUUGUGUGUGUGUGUGUGUGUGUGUGUGUGUGUGUGUGUGUGUGUGUGUGUGUGUGUGGUUCUAGUGGGCUGCUACUGUCACAUGUGCUCUUUCAUCGGCCCGCUGCCCUUUCAGAUGACAUGCCUGAAACAAUGUACUAACAUGGAGGGAAUUCCCUGUUAGCGCUAGGCCUAAGGCCUGAGUGCAUGUGUGUGUGUGUAGAUGUGUGUGGUUGUUGUUAUGUGUAGGUGUGUGUGGUAUGUGUAGGUGUGUGUGUGAGAGAUAGAUGAGUGAUUCUUUGGCCUGUGGUCUGAGCAUGGUGCUGGGCUAAUGGCAGCUCCAUCCCCCUGUGCUUUAGCAUGGUGCUAGGCUAGCAGUGGAGAACUUCGGAGGAAACCCAAACAGUUGUUCUCACUCCACAUUGUCUAUGUUGGGUGAGUUCAACUGUUUUGGUUCUGUUCCAUCAAUCAGCCUCCUGACCAGAUAUAGCCAUAACCACAACAUUUUAAGAUAUAAAUGUAGCAUUGAGUUAGCAAGUUAGCAUAAUGUUGUCAACUGCAGAAACCUUUUUUAACUUUUAAUUGGGAAUUUAAAAAUGACACAUUUU